UUGUUAACCAUGACGUUGGGUCCAAAGCCAAAGUUGACUACACAAUGAAAACUACUGUGGGACCACUGGAUGUGAAACUGAGCCUGAAAGGAAAGCAUAUCCAAGACAGUCGCAAUCUGAAUUCCACCAUGACAUUUGGCUAUGGCAAAGGAAAUACAAUUGAUGCUGCUCUCAAUCUGAGAAAUAGUGGAAA